UGGCGGACGGGUGAGUAACGCGUGGGGGAACCUGCCCUGUACAGGGGGAUAACACUUAGAAAUAGGUGCUAAUACCGCAUAAGCGCACAGUAUCGCAUGAUACAGUGUGAAAAACUCCGGUGGUACAGGAUGGACCCGCGUCUGAUUAGCUGGUUGGCGGGGUAACGGCCCACCAAGGCGACGAUCAGUAGCCGGCCUGAGAGGGUGAACGGCCACAUUGGGACUGAGACACGGCCCAAACUCCUACGGGAGGCAGCAG
rnacentral:rRNA from 1 species